rnacentral:lncRNA from 1 species
GAUCCGAUAAACUGAACUCGUUCCUUAUAAGGUACUUGGAGAGUGGCAUUUUGAUUGUUGAGAUACGAAUUCAGCAAUUGAUAGAGACUAGAUUUAGUGAUAGUUUUGUGAAUUUGAGUUUCUGGUUUCCGAUCUUGUUUCUUCUAGUUCCGGUGAGUUUGGCUCCACCGUGUUCCACCAUGGAAGAGAGAGAAAGAAAAUGUUUUAUAAUAAAUGUACAGAGAAGAGAGAGAAAGUGGUUAUUAUUAAUUUAAUUUUAAAAUAAAAAAUGAAAAGGAAUUAAUGAAUAUACGGUGGUCGGUGUCAGCGAGAGUCACAU